UGAGUCUUCCCAAAGUGUUUCUCUCAUCUGCACUGCUGCCAGUGGCACGUCAGCUAAGGCCGAGGCGUGUCACAAUAGAUUAACAUGGAGAUGCUACACAUUCGUCCGAAUUCCUACCAAUCAAGUGUUUGGAAACCCAACUUUUUAAGAGACCAGACCCAUGCAAUUCCCUAAAUAUGCUGUGCCACUAUAAAGUACCCAUGUAGAACACCUAAAAACUAACUCGCCUUAAGUGGUGACAUGGUAUCAGUCGGUGUGAAGACGUCUGCCUUCCCCUUGGAUUCAGCUCGUCAGCCCCACCAGUACUGCUAGCAAGACUGUUGCUGUGGGAGAUCUGGAGGGACAGAGAAGAAAAGAUAAGUUACUGUGAUGUAAAGAAAACAUGCUGAGGUUUACAAACCAUAUCCAGCAGUCUGCGCUGACGAUUGAUCUCUUCCUCGUACUGGACGAUAGUUUUUCUAAAGAAAACCCCGAAUAUUUCCUCAGCAGCUGCAGUUAGUCGCUCGCUGACAAACUCUCUCAGAGACUCAACUGAAGACAUUGUUGCUUAAUUCUUUCUUCUUCUUUGUUACGUUUUCUGGCGAGUGGCACCCAGCGUUAAGGUGCAUUACCGCCACCUACUAUGUUGGAGUGUGGACCAGAGUUUCUAUCCCUUGAUAAAUAAAUAA